GGUAGCUCAGACGGUAAAGCGUCUGCCUCCAAUGUGGAAGACCCAGGUUCGAUCCCUGGGCCA
rnacentral:tRNA from 1 species